CCUACGGGAGGCAGCAGUGAGGAAUAUUGGACAAUGGGCGCAAGCCUGAUCCAGCCAUGCCGCGUGCAGGAAGACGGUCCUAUGGAUUGUAAACUGCUUUUAUACAGGAAGAAAUACUUUCUCGUGAGAGAGCUUGACGGUACUGUAAGAAUAAGGAUCGGCUAACUCCGUGCCAGCAGCCGCGGUAAUACGGAGGAUCCAAGCGUUAUCCGGAAUCAUUGGGUUUAAAGGGUCCGUAGGCGGUUUAAUAAGUCAGUGGUGAAAUCUGGUCGCUCAACGAUCAAACGGCCAUUGAUACUGUUAGACUUGAAUUAUUGUGAAGUAACUAGAAUAUGUAGUGUAGCGGUGAAAUGCUUAGAUAUUACAUGGAAUACCAAUUGCGAAGGCAGGUUACUAACAAUGGAUUGACGCUGAUGGACGAAAGCGUGGGGAGCGAACAGGAUUAGAUACCCUGGUAGUCCACGCCGUAAACGAUGGAUACUAGCUGUUGGGCGCAAGUUCAGUGGCUAAGCGAAAGUGAUAAGUAUCCCACCUGGGGAGUACGUUCGCAGAUGAAACUCAAAGGAAUUGACGG
rnacentral:rRNA from 1 species